UGUGUGUUUUUGUUUAUAAUUAUUUUUUUAUGUAUGUAAAGUUAUUUUUUAUAUAUACUGAAAAAAGUUAAACUAUAAUUCUCAAUUAUGAGUAAUAAAGAUACAAGUAUAGUUACAAUGAAAUGAUCACAACUUAACAUAAAGUAAGUUUAUGUUACAAUCGUAUCAUAAAUAAAUCUUUUAAUAAAUGUAUAAAGCUAUUUCUAUUUAGAUUAUUUCUACUCCAGUUAGCAAUUGCUUUACAUUAUUUAUACAAGUAGAACUUUUAGUAGGAAUAAUUUUGUAUAUAUAAUAUUGAGCCAUGAUUUUUUUUUGGCCUAACCGGUAGACUUUACUUAGUAACAAGCAUCUAUUAGAAAAAAAUUAAGAAAGCGACUGUAUGUUUAGUAAAAAAAUACAAAAAUAUUUUUUUCACCUUAUAACACUCUAUAGAAAGGCAAUUAAGAAUAUUGACAAACCUAAAUCUUGACGAAAGAACUAAAGAUAUGUAAGAUGCACGCAUAAAGUGAUUCAGAGUUUUCAAGUUCUAAACUUCUAGAAUCAGCUUGUUUUUUCAAGUUUAGCUCUUAUAUGCAAGUUUUUUUAUGAUUUUUUAAAAUUAGUGUUAUAUUUAAAAUUCUUAACUAAAUACUUCAAUGUAAGUUUAUAAAUAAGACUAAAGUGGACAAUUUUUGUAUUUUUUUUUAAUAUAAUUAUUAGAACAAUGAAAAAAACAUAUCAUAAUUGUUUGCACAUUAGAGAAGCUAGUCCUGAUAUUAAAGUGCAAAAAUUUGCCAAAUGUAAGUUCAUCUGUUUUUAUUCAAUAUUUUAUGCUAAAUAAAACCAGAUAAAUGUUUUUUCGAAAUAUUUAAAAAUGUGUAUGUAUUUUUAACAAGUUGCUAACUUACAUUAUACAUAAUAAUACAUUACAAAUUAUACAUAAAACAUUUCUUCAACAAGUUGAAAAAAAAUUUUAGUGAUGCAUUGCUGCAGUUUAUUGUUAUGAUAAACUGCCAUCAUGUUUUAAGUCUGUUAGUGGAACAAGUUUUCAAUCUGCAAUAUAUAUGGAACUACGAUGCCUAAAGUCUUAAAAAGUCUUUAUCUGCAGUGGAUAUCCGGGGGGAAAAGAUUGAGUUUGAAGAUUCAUAAUUUUAUUAUGAUAAAAUUAAUGAUAUAACAAGGUUUGAUAAAAGUGAAGUAAUUUUAAGUAAUAAAGUAAAGUUUUAUUUUUUGUUUUAUUCUUUUUUACAUAAAUGUAUAAAGUUUUCAUAAAUAAAGUAAAAUGUGAUCAAACUAAAUAUAUUCUAUGAUUUUUUAAGGGUCUUUUUCAGCUCUGGUCUUUAAGGGUCUUUUUCAGCUCUGCUAUUAAUGUUUUGGAUGAAAUAAUGUCAAAAUGUGUUCUAUCAUUGUUCAAGAACAUUAGUGUCACAUACAGCAAAGUUCGAUUUGGUCGACAAGUUGAAAGGCGAUUUUUUGAAGAAAAUAAUAGAAUAAUUAGCUUAAUAGAAUAGCAUGUUUUUGUAUCCUUAAAUUGUAAAUAAACAC